AGUGAACGCUGGCGGUAGGCCUAACACAUGCAAGUCGAACGGCAGCACAGUAAGAGCUUGCUCUUACGGGUGGCGAGUGGCGGACGGGUGAGGAAUACAUCGGAAUCUACUUUUUCGUGGGGGAUAACGUAGGGAAACUUACGCUAAUACCGCAUACGACCUACGGGUGAAAGCAGGGGAUCUUCGGACCUUGCGCGAUUGAAUGAGCCGAUGUCGGAUUAGCUAGUUGGCGGGUUAAAGGCCCACCAAGGCGACGAUCCGUAGCUGGUCUGAGAGGAUGAUCAGCCACACUGGAACUGAGACACGGUCCAGACUCCUACGGGAGGCAGCAGUGGGGAAUAUUGGACAAUGGGCGCAAGCCUGAUCCAGCCAUACCGCGUGGGUGAAGAAGGCCUUCGGGUUGUAAAGCCCUUUUGUUGGGAAAGAAAAGCAGCAGGUUAAUACCCCGCUGUUCUGACGGUACCCAAAGAAUAAGCACCGGCUAACUUCGU
rnacentral:rRNA from 1 species